AGAGAGAGAGAGAGAGAGAGAGAGAGCGCCAAUGCCCAGCUCUUUUGCUGCAUGAUCUGGGGUAUCAAACCUGGGACUUCAUGAAUGCUGCGACUUCUCAGAGCAUUUACUAUAUCUUUUAACCUUAGGCUUCAUCCUUCAGAAUGGGUCUGUUUGGAAUAACUGUGCUGCCCAAUACUCUAAGGAAAUGAUCCAAAUACUGUUGCUGAAGGAGUUACUUUUGAAGGAGUCCAUUUAGUGUGACUCUGUGUAAGUCUCCCCUAACAGAACCCUCCAGCUGAAUGCUGAUGAGGGAUUGGCCUGGAUGCAGUGGACAGAAUGGAUUCUCUUGAAGCAGGGUUCAAAGUUGCUUUGCUAAAAUGGAUCACUAAAAGGAAAGAAAGAAAGAAAAAAGGAAAGGGAGGGGAGNNNNNCACACACACACACACACACACACACACACACGCACAGUUUCCAUGCUGCAGAAAUACCUGAGUUGUCAUCCUCAGGAACACUGUCCACCUCCCUUGAGUCAGGCUAUAUCGCCUUGGAGCUUACAGAGUAGUCUCGAGUGGCUGAUGAUUGGCUGAUGGUGAGCCCAGGCAUACCACUACUUCUGCUUCCUUAGAGCUGGGAUUACAAACUCACCACUAUACUGGCUUCUUUGCAUGGGGUCGGGAGGUCUAGCUUUGCCACCUUGUGCUUGAGAGACAAAUCGGUGACUGACCCAGCCAUCUCUCAGAAGUGAUGUUUUAAGGGCCCUUAGUGGAGGUAUUCUUCAGUUUCCCACAGUCCUCACUAUUCCCUCUCCCUACCUUACUUCAUUAUUCACAUUCUUUCCUGGCAAGCCCUAAACCAACCAAGUCUGUAGUCUCUGCUUUAAGUAUCCAUAUCAACAUUUGCAUAAGACAGCACAUUUGCAGCACAUGGUGGAAGUCUCUCUCUUUCCUCUCAAUAACUGCAAUCUUAAGAAAAGCUGAAGUCCAAUUUCUACGUGGCAGCUUCUGCAGUAGGUACUUUAUGCACACUGUUCCAUCGGAGGCCCUGACUGGCCAGUAGUUUGUUUCUAACUCUAGCAUAUAACUAAGAGACUGAGAUCGGAGGUUAAAGCGAAGGUCAAACCCUAAGCUGUCCUCUUAUAUCCCAUUAAUGAACUUCAGAAACAUGAGCUAAAUCAACGUGAUGAUAAAGGGGCUUUUGUUACAAGAUUUCACUAUUUUUCUUACAUUCAGUGAUGACAUCAAAUGAGAUUGGCACCUCUGAGAAGUCCGGGGUUAAUUUCAAUGCAACCAUAGGCAGAUUUGGAAUACUACUGAUCUUUGGAGUGGCUCAUGUUCCCUGUGAAGGUGAUUGUGAAGUUACUAUGAGAGAAACUCCAUUGACCAUGGCAGAAUUUGACUGUUUCCCAGACUGUUUAGCACCAAAUCAACGUGAAAUCGGCACAUGAGGUGUGUUGCUCUACGGCUGCACUUGAUCAGAAUACCUGGUGAAUUUUCUCUGAGAGUCAACCCAUGCCCAGAGAUUGUUGGUAUAAGCAUCUUGAUAUUUUAUGCCAUCUCUCUUUUAUCUGUGUUUGAGGUGGGGCUUGUGUAGGGGCCAGAGGUCAACCUCAGGUAGACUCUACCCUGACUUCUCAGACAAUGUGUCUCACUGACCUGGACCUCACCAAGUCGCUAGGCUGGCUGGCCAGAGAAGCCCAAGGAUCUGAUGUUUCUAACCUUCCCAGUAGUGGGAUUAAGAUGGCACCAGCACUGCAAACUUCUUUAUGUGGGUUCUGAGCAUUGAACUCAGGUCCCCGUUCUAAUAUAGCAAGCACCUUAGUAACUGAGCCAUCUCCCCAGUUUCACAUUUCUGUGUUUCUAACAAUUAAUUACGUUCCCACUCUGUUCUCCCUUUGCCCCAUACUCUUUAAGUAACAGGCAGAAUGGUCUCAUUUCUGAGAAAAGAAAUUUUAUUUGAUUUUACUGGUUUUCCAGCCCCAUCCGAGAAUGCUGUUCUGGUCUGAGCUAUUUAAAACGCAUAGCCUCCGAUUCCCAGUUCUGAGAGCAAACACUUUGCCAAGCACCUCCUAGCUACAAAGUGACCUUGACACAUGUCAUUCAGCAGGGUUUCAAAUCAAAGUCAUCCUGUUUAAUAUUCAUAAAGACUUUUUUUUUCUUCCUAACAGCAUAUGUAGCGAUUUUACAAGGGCUGGGGUUGGGAGCUUUAUUUAGAGAUGGGUUGUAUUCUGAGAAACGUACCAUCAGCGUCUCUCCGGUGAACUGAAGUAUUAGUUUGGAGGUAGGGAAAUUUCGUUUGGCAUUCUUCGAGGGAAGAGAGUGAAGUGCUCGAUCCUGACAGGUUUUUCUCAUUGGGGGUUUCCUGGGCUGGUCCAUCUGUGAUACUGAAUUCGGAUACUGAAUUUAUUACGAUAGCAUUAAUAGGUUUCUCGUCUGCAUGCUUUUCAUUCGUGAGUUGCGUAUCUAGAUGAGAAAAGAAAACACACAUAUACAAACCCACUGUGAUCUAAGAAGGGACAUUUGCAGGGAAAUUUACAUUUUGCACUUUGAGAAAAUAAAGUCCCAAUGAACGGGAAUACAACAUUAUCGAGCAAGAUUAUUUUGAGAUAGAAUUGAAAAGUACAAUCACAAAUUUUUAUAUACACUGUAAAUUUCUCAUUAAUUUGAAACGUAUUUUUCUACUAUCAGUUUUUCAGAUAGUGAGUUGGGCAAACAAAAGAACUCAUUCAUGUAGAUCAACAAGAUGUUACAGUGUGGUAUCUGCAUCAUAGUAUAUUAUGGAUAUGAGAAAUCAGGUGAUUCUGGAAACUUCCAAUGGUCUCAAUAAGAUCACUAUUCAUUU
ensembl:antisense Gm32592 predicted gene, 32592